UACGUAGGGGCCUAGCGUUGUCCGGAAUUAUUGGGCGUAAAGAGCUCGUAGGCGGUUCGGCAAGUCGGAUGUGAAGUCUCCACGCUUAACGUGGAGGGGCCAUUCGAAACUGCUGUGACUCGAGUCCGGUAGGGGAGUGUGGAAUUCCCGGUGUAGCGGUGAAAUGCGCAGAUAUCGGGAGGAAUACCGAUGGCGAAGGCAGGUCUCUGGGCUGACACUGACGCUCAUGCACGAAAGCGUGGGGAGCAAACAGG
rnacentral:rRNA from 1 species